rnacentral:rRNA from 1 species
CAGUCGCCACGGGAAUACGAAGGGGGCUAGCGUUGCUCGGAAUGACUGGGCGUAAAGGGCGCGUAGGCGGAUUGUUUAGUUAGGCGUGAAAUUCCUGGGCUUAACCUGGGGACUGCGCUUAAUACAGGCAAUCUAGAGUGAGGAAGAGGGUUGUGGAAUUCCCAGUGUAGAGGUGAAAUUCGUAGAUAUUGGGAAGAACACCGGUGGCGAAGGCGGCAACCUGGUCCUUGACUGACGCUGAGGCGCGAAAGCGUGGGGAGCAAACAGGAUUAGAUACCCCAGUAGUCCCUGUCUCUUAUAU